UCUAAAACGCAAAAACCCUUUCAUCACAGCAUCGCUGCUUCGCCGCAUCGCCGUUUUCCUUUGGCGCACUGUGGAGUUCCUGCAACCACAAAUCCCUAAAUCCUUCCAAAUCCAAACCCCUAAACUAAUUCAUCAUUUCAAUCCCUAAUAUUUAAAUCUCUAACAAAGCUUAUCAUGACAAACCUUCUCUUUCUUUCUCUCGUUGAGCAGAGUUGGUUGUUUUCAUCUCAGGUUCAUUGUUCUCUCGUUGAGAAAAGUUCAUUGAUUUCAUUUGAGCCUCACAUCUCAAAUCUUGUGUCGUGACUCGUUUGUUCUUCGUCCGCCGAUCUGUCACUCAUCAUCUUUCUAUGUGCUUCGAGCCUCUCUGGUUGAUGAAUUAGUUUGGUUUUGGUUCGGAUAAGUUGGUGUGUGCAUUGGUUUGGUCUUUUUCUGGUUGCGGCUGCUGGUGUUUUUGGCCUCUGGUACUGGUUUUUAUGUGCUUUCUAGUUUCUUGCUCGGGACUUGAGUGAUUGGAUUCUUAGUUCAUGUUAUUCUUGAAGGCCUGCUUUGGUUUGGGUUUCCCGGCGUCUGUCUUUUGGGUUUUGGCCCUUAGGUUAAGUUCUUUUGUCUCUUUCUAUGUGUGAGUGUUGUUGAUUGGAUAAUUUGGACUGAUUUUCUAGUUUAAGCAUUGGUUGCUAUUAGCUAACAGAGCAUGGACUUCAUGUUUCAAGAGCAUUGUGAAAGCUACAGUCCAAGCACAUCAGUGAAUCAGAGAGUUGCAGCAGCUUCUGAUGUCAUACUACCUUUCUCAAUUACCAUAUCAGGAUCCCCUCCAAAUACUCGAGGCUGAUAUACAACAAGCUACUGCAAUUCCAAGAGCCAGAGGUAUUAACUCUAGUGGAUUCACUAGUGGUGCUCAAAAUUCUAUAGGGGAUUGUUUGAGGAAUGUGAUAUCAAAUUCCAGCUUAGAGAUUGCGGUUGUGACACAGGUUGUGUGGUGCUGUUUGAUUCAUUUUAGUAAGGCUUGAGGUUGUUAAUAAUUGAGGCACUUUGGUAACUGAGUUAGAAAAGUCUAAGAGAUGGCAAAUGUUCGGAGUCUAGUUAGCACUAAUUAAGGAUCACGAAACAACAUCACAUGCUAGGAAUAUUGAGAUAUUUUGUUAAAUCCUUAUUUUGACUUAAUGUGUUGUAUAUUUUGCCACUCUACUAAUGGUUAGGUUUUAGUUUUUUGAAUGAUUGAACUACAUUAGAUUAUUCUUUUUUUUUUCUUUAGGAGUUUCAUGUAUUUUAAUCAGAUUUUUUAUGUAUAAAUGUUGUUAGUAUUGAAUUGAAUGAAUUAUAUAAAUGAGAUU